UGAGCUACAAGAGACCACUUUUGACCAGCAAGCAUCCAUUCUCGACCUACAAUCAUCUACUCAUGAGAUACAAGCAUCUACUCUUGACCUAGAAGCGUCUACUCAUGAUCUGUGGGAAUCAGCCAGAGACAGCCAACAAGCAUCUGACAGAGACCUACUAGAAACAUACAACAUUGACAAGUUUACAGUGAAUGAGGAGGUUUCUGCAAGUGCCAGCCUUCUGGGAGAAACCAGUGAGAUCUCAGGUGAUUGCUAUAUAAGAUGUCUCACAAGAAAAAAGAACUAAGAAUCAUUUUCUAGUCCAGUCUUUGAAGCUUACCUGAGGGAUAGAGGAAGAUAAGAUUCCAGAUUUUUGAAAUUAUCAGCCAUAGAACUCCACUGAAACUUCCAGAGAUGAGUGCUUGCAUCAAGAGCCCAGCCCUAAUACUUUAUCAUGGUCUUGGGUGUUUUUUUUU